rnacentral:lncRNA from 1 species
CUUUCUUUCUCUCGAUCUCUUCUGUCGCUCCUUUCCUCUAAAUUCUAUAAAUUCUAAAUUUUUACUUUUCACCCUACAAUAAUAAUAAUAAAGUUCUGCCCUGUUUUAAGUAUUGUAACUCCUGAUCACCGCUACCCUUUUCGAUUGAUCUGAGCCUCAUAACUUAUGUCAGGGCUCUGCCCGACUAAGUUGUUGGGAUUCGGUCUCGGGAUUUCGGGACAAGGUUGAAUUAGGGGUACUAUACUUACCACGAGUGCAAUAUAUUUUUUAUAGCCCAAAAGUUAUACCCAAAAUUUAUACCAGGAGAUUUUCUAGUUGAACCCUAAAGUUACAAACUGGGUCCAUUUUCUUUUCUCACCAUUUUAUUUCCUUUUUGUGAUUUACCCAAAACUAUUAUUUAUUAUAUAUUACUCUAUUUUGUAAAACAACUCUCAAUCAAAAUUCAUAUCUGUUAUUUUAUUUACUCAAUAAGGAACCCUAGUUGAGACACCCAAGUAAUUCUACACAAACCCUAAAAUUUUCAUAACAAUCAGAAUCAGGAUCAGGGCCCCUAAAACUCAGAGGGGGCAAUUCCCAUUCGAUAUUAUCUUCAAAACUCAUUGUCAAAAUUUAAAUUUUCGAAUUCAUCAACUCAGCAGGCCUAGUCCCACACGUGGCAACCCUAUGACCAUUAGGUGUCCCUUACGGACCGUAAGGGAAUAGUCUUACGGUCCGUAAGCAUGUCAAUUUUCGUGUAUAAAUAACAGACAUUGGGACUGGAAUUUGGGCGAUUGAACGACGUAAAAACUCGUAAUACACACUGAGUUACGUUCUGUUUACUAUCAAAAUCACUAAUUAGUAUAGCGGGGUGCUGCUGCGAUACCGGGUAUUAACUCGAUCGCUAUUACGAUUCAACGUCCGAUCGAUUAUAACUAUCCAACGAUUGUUUGAGUGCUGCUCAAAUUGAUUUUAUACUUUGUUAUUCAUCGUGAUUUCGACUUGAAUGUUUGAGUGUUGUCCGAACUCGGACUAUACUCUGUCAUUCGUUGUGAAUCCGCUGAAUUGUUAAGUAUUGCACUCUAUUAAUCGUUGUGAGGGUUUAAUCUCGUGAAUUGUCGUAAAUACUGUAUUAGUUAUUUACCUAGUUUCGUGUGCAUCAUUUCUUAAAUUAGGUUAUUAGUCUUACCAGUAGACUAAACUUUACCCCCAUACACUUACAAUCAAAGUAGAUGCUAAUUCUCAGAAGAAUCUGAAUCAUCAAGCUUGUUAAUUCAAUACUGCAUGCUUAUAAUGUAAUUACAGUAGAUUGGAGUAAAGAUUGGAUCCGGCACUAAAAGACUUCAAGAAGUGGCUUAUUUUAUUAAUUAAAAAUCAAAUUAAGAAAUAAUGCUUUAUGUAAAUAAAAUUUAUCUUUAAAGCUACCUUUGUAAAACAUGGAUUUAUUCCAUCUAUUUAAUAAAUAAAAUCCGGUGUU